GGGUCAGUAGGUUGGUCGUGCCACCGGUACGUACUGGUCUCACUGAUUCCUCCUUCCUGAAGAACCGUAAUGCCAUUAACUUGGCGUUGCGGGGAAACAGGACUGUUACUUUGAAAAAAUUAGAGUGUUUAAAGCAAGCUAACGCUUGAAUACAUUAGCAUGGAAUAAUGAAAUAGGACGAUCGAUCCUAUUUUGUUGGUUUCUAGGAUUGACGUA
rnacentral:rRNA from 1 species